rnacentral:lncRNA from 1 species
UCAACAUUCUCACUAUCUUUAUCAUUCUCGCCAACUACAACAACACCACAAUUUUGAGUCCUUAAAUUUUUAUCAUAGUCUUCUACAUGAUUUCUAUAUCCAUUAACGAUGUAACCAUUAAAAUGUGUCACAUAUUGGGUAGGACCACGUGAAAGUGAGAGCAGAUCUUCCAUGAUUCGACAAUCAUCUCCUUUAUGCAAUUGU